rnacentral:rRNA from 1 species
ACGGCUCAGUAACACGUAGUCAACAUACCCAAAGGACGUGGAUAACCUCGGGAAACUGAGGAUAAACCGCGAUAGGUCAUAAGUACUGGAAUGUUUUAUGGCUCAAAUCUACAUGGCCUCUGGAUUGGACUGCGGCCGAUCAGGCUGUUGGUGAGGUAAUGGCCCACCAAACCUGUUACCGGUACGGGCUCUGAGAGGAGGAGCCCGGAGAUGGGCACUGAGACAAGGGCCCAGGCCCUAUGGGGCGCAGCAGGCGCGAAACCUCUGCAAUAGGCGAAAGCUUGACAGGGUUACUCUGAGUGAUUCCCGCUAAGGGAAUCUUUUGGCAUCUCUAAAAACGAUGCAGAAUAAGGGGUGGGCAAGUCUGGUGUCAGCCGCCGCGGUAAUACCAGCACCCCGAGUGGUCGGGACGAUUAUUGGGCCUAAAGCAUCCGUAGCCGGUCUUGCAAGUCUUCCGUUAAAUCCACCUGCUUAACAGAUGGGCUGCGGAAGAUACUACAAGACUAGGAGGCGGGAGAGGCAAGCGGUACUCAGUGGGUAGGGGUAAAAUCCUCUGAUCCAUUGAAGACCACCAGUGGCGAAGGCGGCUUGCCAGAACGCGCUCGACGGUGAGGGAUGAAAGCUGGGGGAGCAAACCGGAUUAGAUACCCGGGUAGUCCCAGCUGUAAACGAUGCAGACUCGGUGAUGGGCCGGCUUCAUGCCGGCUCAGUGCCGCAGGGAAGCCGUUAAGUCUGCCGCCUGGGGAGUACGGUCGCAAGACUGAAACUUAAAGGAAUUGGCGGGGAGCAC